rnacentral:rRNA from 1 species
GACGAACGCUGGCGGCGUGCUUAACACAUGCAAGUCGAACGAUGAAGAAGAGAAACGCGAACUUCGGUUCAAAUUUCACUUCGGAUUAGUGGCAGACGGGUGAGUAACGCGUGAGCAACCUACCUCUUACAAAGGGAUAGCCUCGGGAAACCGUGAUUAAUACCAUAUGACACAUUCAUAAGGCAUCUUAAGAAUGUUAAAGCUACGGCGGUAAGAGAUGGGCUCGCGUCCCAUUAGCUAGUUGGUGAGGUAACGGCCCACCAAGGCGACGAUGGGUAACCGGCCUGAGAGGGUGAACGGUCACAUUGGAACUGAGACACGGUCCAAACUCCUACGGGAGGCAGCAGUGGGGAAUAUUGCACAAUGGAGGGAACUCUGAUGCAGCGACGCCGCGUGAGCGAUGAAGGAAUUCGUUUCAUAAAGCUCUGUUCUAUGGGAAGAAAAGGACUGUACCAUAGGAGAAAGCCCCGGCUAAAUACGUG